rnacentral:rRNA from 1 species
UGGAGAGUUUGAUCCUGGCUCAGAUUGAACGCUGGCGGCAGGCCUAACACAUGCAAGUCGAGCGGCAGCGGGAAGUAGUUUACUACUUUGCCGGCGAGCGGCGGACGGGUGAGUAAUGUCUGGGAAACUGCCUGAUGGAGGGGGAUAACUACUGGAAACGGUAGCUAAUACCGCAUGACCUCGCAAGAGCAAAGUGGGGGACCUUCGGGCCUCACGCCAUCGGAUGUGCCCAGAUGGGAUUAGCUAGUAGGUGGGGUAAUGGCUCACCUAGGCGACGAUCCCUAGCUGGUCUGAGAGGAUGACCAGCCACACUGGAACUGAGACACGGUCCAGACUCCUACGGGAGGCAGCAGUGGGGAAUAUUGCACAAUGGGCGCAAGCCUGAUGCAGCCAUGCCGCGUGUGUGAAGAAGGCCUUAGGGUUGUAAAGCACUUUCAGCGAGGAGGAAGGGUUCAGUGUUAAUAGCACUGAGCAUUGACGUUACUCGCAGAAGAAGCACCGGCUAACUCCGUGCCAGCAGCCGCGGUA